rnacentral:rRNA from 1 species
UAGCGGCGGACGGGUGAGUAACACGUGGGUAACCUGCCUGUAAGACUGGGAUAACUCCGGGAAACCGGGGCUAAUACCGGAUGGUUGUUUGAACCGCAUGGUUCAAACAUAAAAGGUGGCUUCGGCUACCACUUACAGAUGGACCCGCGGCGCAUUAGCUAGUUGGUGAGGUAACGGCUCACCAAGGCAACGAUGCGUAGCCGACCUGAGAGGGUGAUCGGCCACACUGGGACUGAGACACGGCCCAGACUCCUACGGGAGGCAGCAGUAGGGAAUCUUCCGCAAUGGACGAAAGUCUGACGGAGCAACGCCGCGUGAGUGAUGAAGGUUUUCGGAUCGUAAAGCUCUGUUGUUAGGGAAGAACAAGUACCGUUCGAAUAGGGCGGUACCUUGACGGUACCUAACCAGAAAGCCACGGCUAACUACGUGCCAGCAGCCGCGGUAAUACGUAGGUGGCAAGCGUUGUCCGGAAUUAUUGGGCGUA